GACGAACCGUGCGAACGUUGUUCGGAUUCACUGGGCUUAAAGGGCGCGUAGGCGGGUUAUCAAGUCGGGGGUGAAAUCUUUCAGCUCAACUGGAAAAGUGCCUUCGAUACUGAUGAUCUUGAGGGAGGUAGGGGCAUGUGGAACUUCCGGUGGAGCGGUGAAAUGCGUAGAUAUCGGAAGGAACGCCGGUGGCGAAAGCGACGUGCUGGACCUCUUCUGACGCUGAGGCGCGAAAGCCAGGGGAGCGAACGGG
rnacentral:rRNA from 2 species